UGCUGAGUAAAAAGUCCACAUAUUUUUUAACAGAUCUACAAAAAAAAUCGAUCGGCAAUUGCUUCGGAUGAUCAAAUCACUUCGGGCACAAACUUUAAAUUGAACUGAAACCACAUACUAGCAUAGCAUUAACCACGAAAUUAGAGUACCAAACGCACCACAUAAAACACACGUACCGUAAAAGAUCACACCUGGACACACCAUGCAAAACCAAACGACAGACGUAUUAGAAUACAGAAGCAACACCCACAAGUUUCUCCCUUUUUACUCGGUAGCUAGCUAGGUGACUACUUCUUACGGAGGUCGCUCCGCAGGUCGCGGAAGUAGGUUUUGGGGUCCUCCUCGAAGGGAGCCCGGAGUAUGUGCAUGUCCCUCCCGGGGGCUUUCAUGGUCUUUUCUUCUUCGCCGGGCUCGGAUGAGUCACUGCGCAGGUUGCGGAAGUAGGCAGCGGGGUCCUCCUCAAAGGGACGCCGGGGUAUGCGCAUGUCCCUCCCGGGAGCUUUCAUGGUCUUUUCUUCUUCGCUGGGCAUGGACGAGUGGCUCCGCAGGUCACGGAAGUAGGUAGCAGGGUCCUCCUCGAAGGUACGCCGGAGUAUGCGCAUGUCCCUCCCGGGAGCUUUCAUGGUCUUUUCUUCUUCGGCAGGCUUGGACGAUUCGGCCAUCAGGCUCACCACGCCUGCACCCAAGGCCAAGAUCGCCGCGCCGGCGAUCGCUCCUGCGGCGAGGGCAGAUGAGCUGCUAGACUCCUUGGCCAAGGCAGUGUCACCUGACUCCUUGUUCUCACCAUCUCCCUCUCCACCUUUGCUCUCGCUUGCGCCCAUAUGGAGCUUGGACUUGGGAUAUGCCUUCGGAUAUGGUAAAAGUUUCGAGGUUUCUCUAGCGUCAAAGUGUGAGUGUUCUAUGCUUUGUUCUUAGGGUGAGAGGUGAGUCUUUGGGGGUUACUUUAUAGCGGCUUUGGUGGCUUUGGAGCUUGGACAUGGGAGUAAUUUCAUGACUUAAUGCUGUGCAUUGGAAAACGUCGACCUUGACCUUGACCUUAACCUUCACUUGAAGCAAUUCGUUUCUCGAUGCUCACUCACUCUUUCUGCGUCGAAGACGGAUGAGGCUUGCACUGCUUAAAUUUCCGAUAACAACUUUAGUAGAAAAAACAAAGGAAAAGUGGACGUGGGGGACCCAUCCUAAUGUGGAAAAGAAGACCGCCCAUGCUUUAGCAUGCCUUUGAGCAGUCAUCGCUCCUGCCUAUUUCGCCCCUUCUUUUCCCGUACUGCAAGAUGUUUCUUUUCAUUUAUUUAAUUUGAAAAAGGGAUAAUGACAUAAAUGAUUUCUAAGUAUUGACUCAAUAUAUAAUGUGAUCUCUAAACUUUUAAUUUAUUUAAUGUGGCCAAUGAAUUUCUAAUUUGUUCGAGGUAAUAUCUGAACUUUUGAUAAAUGUUCAAUUUAGUCUUUAGAUUAUUAUAUCCCUAGAUUCAACUAGUCCCCAAAUUAUCUAAUCCAAGGACUAGAUUGAACAUUUACCAAAAAAUUAUGAACCACAUUGAACAAAUUAAAAGUUCAAAAAUUACAUUGCACUUUAGGUUAAAGUUUAGGGAACACAUUAAACAUUGAAUCAAAGUUCAGAGAUCAUUUGUGUCAUUUUCUCUUUACUACUAAAAACACUAAACUAUACAUUCUAUAAUACAUUUAUCCCAAACUUUUUUUUUUGUAACACUAAAAACCUUCAAUUUAUGCCCAAUUGAUAGUUAUCCCAUUUUGACGUGUAGCACCGAUGUGGUGCCACUUCAGCACCACAUUUGAAAAAUUUUAAAAUAAAAAGGGUUAAUAGCACGGAAAAUCCAAAAUUGGUACACUUAUGACAAAUUUAUCUUAAACUAAUUUUUUAACCACAAAAAAUCAUAAACUGAUACACUUGUAAUAAAUUUAUCAUUUGUUAAUUUCUAUUAAUUUACCUUUAAGUUGCCGAGUUGGAUGGCGUAUAAUAGUUGACGAAUGUACAAGUUUGUGAUUUUACCCUUCAUUUGUCAUAUGUGUAUUAGUUUGUGGAUUUUUUUUUUUUCAUAAUAUUAAUUCAAUUUAACGGAAAUUAUCGAAACGUAAAUUUGUUCGUUGGAAGAUUAGCAAACAAUAGUGAAUGCUUACACUGCCAUGACUCUCCAAGGCAUAUUCCAUGAUAUGGUGAAAUUCCAUGGAUUCAAGAAAAAAAAGGUUCAACAAUUACUAAUGAAAUGGAUUAAAGACGUGGGGAGUAGCCCCAAUAGUGCAAAAGCUCGUGAGAAAGAGGAAGAACAUAGUAAAAUGGAUAGCUUGGGCUACUCCAUAUCUCAACAAGCUCGGCCACAAACAAAAUGCAAAAUUGGGUUUAAAUUUUAUUCUCAUAACUCGUCAUGCUAAAGCCUGAGCCUAGUGAAAGCAGAGCUUGGUGAGCACGAUUGAGGGAAAAAUGAAAGAAAAAAAACCAUUAGUUGGGAGUGACCAAAGCGAGAUCUCACUCUUGAAUGUUGAGCAAGGUUCAUUGUCACCGGUUAGAUUCGAGGUGGCUGAGCCCCUAAGUUCUCGCUCCUAGGUCAGGGAGGCAUGGACAACCUCGAUGAAGGUCGUUGUCCGUGGAUGAGUGCUCGAAAUUGGUGAACAGUGCAUCCUAAAUAAUGAAAAGUAAUCGCGAUAAUAGUGCUUCAAAUUUUUUCGUUUUUGUUUAAAUUUUUUUAAUGGGCCGCUUGCAUGGAACCACAUCAGUGCCAAGUCGGAGCCACGCCAAAUUUCAAUGGCAAUAUUUUAAUGGAAUCCUAACAAAAGGGUAAAUAUGUUACUUGGGUAUUGGUUUGGGAUAAAAAAAAAAUUGAGGAAACGUGCCAUUGUGGGCAUAAUUUAGUGUUUUUGGUGGUUUUUCUUUAACAAGGAAAAGAAGAUGGGGGGCCAUACUAACAUGGAAAAGAAGACUUGCUAAUGCUUUAGUGUGCCUUUGAGCUGUCGGCAAGAAAUCAUUCAUUAUUACUCCUACCUGUUUUGCCAGUUGUCGAAAAAAAAAAAAUUCAUUAUUGCUCCUAUAUAUUUUGCCCUUUCUUUUCUUGUACUACAAGAUGCUUAUUUUCAUAAUUUAAUUUGGAGAAGGGAUGGUGAGAUAAAUGGUCUAUGAACUUUGGUUUAAUGUGUAAUUUAGUCCUUGAACUUUCAAUUCAUUGGUCCCUACACUUUUGAAAAAUGUUCAACUCGAAAUGUUAAACUUUUGUUGUUCCCUAGUUGAACAUUUUUCAAAAGUUUAGGGAUCACAUUGAACAAAUUAAAUGUUUAGAUAUUGCAUUGCACUUUGGGCAAAGUUUAGGGACCACAUUGAACAUUGAACCAAAGUUCAUGGAUCAUUUGUGUCAUUUUUUCUUUGGAGGAAAAAAACUGCUAAAGACUCUAAACUAUGCCCACCGUAAUACAUUUACCCCAAUUCUUUUCGUGACACUAAAUAUUUCAUCACGCAUAUUUACUCGGCAUUAGGGUUAUGUUAAAUAUCACAGUAAAACCUAAUAACUCAAGCACCGCAUUCAAAAAAAUUAUAAUAAAAAGGGCUAGUGCCAAAAAAAAUUACAAAUUAGUAUAUUUGUCAAAUUUACCCCAAAUAUAAAAAACCUCGAAUUGAUACUCCUGUGACUAGUUUUUGUUAAUUUUUAUUAUUACUAAUUUAUAGUUUUAUCCUUCUUUUGUCACAUAUGUGUACUAGUUUGUGGUUUUUUGUAGUAAUAAUUCAAUUUAAUGGAAAUUAAUAGAGCAUAUAUUUGUUAUAAAUGUACUAAUUUGAAGUUUUUGGUGGAAAUUUGUCACAAAUGUACUUUUGGGAUUGUUUUGUGGUACUAACCUAGAUAAAACUAAUAAUUAAACAAACUCGAAGCACUGUUGGUCGUGGUUACUGUUCAUCAUCUUCAAGCCUUCGUCCAUCGCUAUCUAAAGUUGCCUGGACAUCCGACUGUGUUCAAUUCAUUUUUUUUCUUUUGUUGUAAAUAAUCUUCUUCCUUGUUCCUUUAGUUAGUGUUCAUCUUUAUAGGUAAACUUCUCCAUUUCUCUUCUAUUUUUUUUUUGUUUUGUCAAAAAUUUUCCUCUACUUUCUCCACUUAAAUACUGGCAAAAUCAAUCCAUGGACACUUUGCCACUUUGAUCACUGCUUAUUCAAACCUUGGAAAUCUAUCCAUCGGAAGAUUAGCAAAUAACAACUGAUGCUUGCACUGUCGUGACUCUCCAAGGCAUAUUUUAUAAUACGGCAAAACUCCAUGGAUUCAAGAAAAAAAGGGAAAAGGUUCAAUAGCUACUGAUGAAAUGGAUUAAGGACAUGGGGAGUAGCCCCAGUAGUGCAAAAGCUCAUGAGAAAGAGGAAGAACAAAGUAAUAUGGACAGCUCGGGCUACUCCAUAUCUCGGCAAGCUCGGUUGCAAACAAAACGCAAAAUUAGGUUUAAAUCUUUCUCACAACUCGUCAUGCUAAAGUUUGAGCCUAGUGAAAGUUGAGCUUGGUGAGCACAAUUAAAGGAAAAAUGAAAGAAAAACAAACCAUUAGAUGGGAGUGACCAAAGCGAGAUCUUACUCUCGAAUGUUGAGUAAGGCUCAUUGUCACCGAUUAGAUUCAAGGUGGCCAAGACACUUAGUCUUUUAUCCUAGGUUAGGGAAACAUGAACAAACUUGAUCAAGGUCAUUGUCCAUAGAUGAACACUUGAAGAUGAUGAACAGUGCAUCCAAAACAAUAAACAGUUAUUGCAGUAAUAGUGCUUUGAAAUUUUUUCUUUUUUGUUUGAAUUUCUUAAAUGGGGCACUCAUGUGGAACCAUAUCAACACCAAGUGGAAGCCAUGCCAGAUUUCAAUGGUGAUUUUUAAGAGAAUCCUAACGAAGGGUAAAUGUAUCACUUAGAAAUUAGUUUGAGAUUUUUUGGUAUCACAAAAAAAUUGAGGAAACGUGUCACUGUGGGCAUAAUUUGGUGUUUUGGGUUGCUUUUUCUUUAGCAUGGGAAAAGAAAUGAAGGGCGCAUCCUAAGGUGGAAAAGAAGACCCACUAAUGAUUUAGCGUACCUUUAAGCUAUCGGCAAGAAAUCAUUCAUUAUUGCUCCAACCUGUCUCGCUUUUUCUUUUCUGGUACUGCUAGAUGUUUCCUUUCAAAAUUUAAUUUGGAGAAGGGAUAAUGAUAUAAAUAGUCUUUGAACUUUGACCUAAUAUGUAAUGUAGUCCAUAUAUUUUUAAUUUAUUGGUCCCUAAACUUUUAAAAAAUGUUCAACGUGAAUUGUUAAACUUUUUUGGUCUCUAGUUGAAUGUUUUUUAAAAGUUUAGAGAUCACAUUGAACAAAUUAAAAGUUUAAGGACCACAUUACACUUUAGGCUAAAGUUUAGGGACUAUUUGUAUAAUUUUUUCUUUGAAGAAAAAAUCAUUAAAAACCCUAAACUAUACUUAUUGUGAUACAUUGUUGAUGCCUAAUUUUUAGUUGAUGCGUUGAUAAAGGUAGAACGGGGCCAAUUUUUUGAACAAAAAGUAUUAGUUUUCAUUUUCUUUCUUUUAUAAUGUCAUUUUUAGAUAAUUUCCUAGUCAUUUCCAAUAAAAAUUUGAAAAGUUAAAUGGUUGACUUUUGGGUUGACUUUUGAUCAAACUUUUGACCAAAAGUCAAACCCUUGGGUCAAAAGUUCCAAAAGUCAAACCCUUGGGUCAAAAGUUGACCUUUUGCACUAAAUGAUUCCUUUUAGUUCCAAUUUGACUUUAGCAUAUAAAAUUUUGCAAAAAUUGAAUAAGAAUCUUGUUUUUGAAUUUUUCGAUUUUAGGUUCAAAAUUAACCAAAAAGAAAAUUACUUUUAUUUUAGUUAUAAGUAGUCUUAGUUCCUUUUACAACAUUUGAUCUAGAGGUCGUUACCCAUUCACUCAUUCAAUCGAUUUUGAGAUUAGACGUGCCAAAAUAUGAAUUCUCUUUUUUAGCCCUGAUUAUGGGGUUUAAACUAGUUCAACGUGAUUUGCAAGCGGACACUUCCAUUCCACUCAUUUUUGUGGAAUAAGUCCGAAUUGAGGGUAAAUUUUGGGAAAUUCACUGGAACUUCUCAUUUUGAGGAAUUUAGCACUUGAACAUUAAAAAAUCAAGCUAAUGAGUUCCGAUUGAUGAAAUUCAAGUUGACCAAUUCGAGACUAAGGUUUAAUUUCAGAAAUUGAGGUUCAAUUUCAUCAUUAGACCCUGAUUCAAUUUUAGCAUAAAAGUCAUGCCAUUAACUUAAGUCAAUUUGAAUGCAAUAAGUCAUCCUAGGUAUGGUCAAUUAAUUCAUUGGUGCCAUGCAAUUUUAAUUGAAUUCAAUUUCAAUUAAUUUGCAUUUUUGGGCAAGAUAUUACAUAAAAUUGUCCAAUUUAGCCUAGGAAGUCCAAUUAUAUGUACCCAUGGCACGGGUCCAAUAGUUUCCAUGUUAAUUAGGUAAUUAGGCUAAUAAAAAGUUACAAGAUUGCAUUUACAUAGUUUAAUUGGCAUAAUUUCUUCAAAAUUGGACCGUUUCUCUUCGAGUUAAACCGUUUUUCCUUUAAAUUAAGCAAGAUUUCCUUUCAGGGACUAAAUUGCAUUAAAUGUAGAAGGGAAAGGACUAAAUCGCCCAAGAAGCGGCUAAAUCGACUGAACCGGUUUGAACUGAUUCGACUGGCUGCCGGUGGAGGAGGCUAGUUUGGCCUUCCUCUGGCUGAUUCUUGGUAGCCGAUGACACCCCAUGAUGGCCUACUAUGCAUACUUUCAUCCGUGCCUUCCAAUUUUUCAGAUUUUGCAAAAAUGCCCCUAGGUCUUAUGAAAUUACGAAAAUACCCAUAAUUAGGCCUUUAUUGCAAAAUUGAUCCGAACAAGUGAUUUCGGCUGAUCACCACUAUCCAAAUAGUCACAUGCUUAAAUCAAGUUUGCUUAAUGAGUAAGGAAGUUUGUUGGAAUCAAUCCUUAGCCAUCAGAUUGAAUCAACGGUUAGGAUUUGAUCUUGAGGGGGGGGGGUAUUUAACUCAUUUUCCCUCCAAAUUUUUGGAAGAGAGCCUCAUAAUCUAUAGAUUUCUCUCUUUAAACAAAAUUAUUCCUCAAAGAUCUCUCUCCUCUCUCUCUCUUCUCGUGUGGCAUCGCCUCACGACCCUCCUCCUCUCACCGCGCCUUCAACUACUCACCGAAGCCUCUGCUGGCUGAACACUAUCGUCCACUAGCUCCAUCAAUCCUCUUCUUCUCCUGCCGUAGUCACUCAGAGCCCCGACGACCACUAGAGCUUCCCGAUUAAUUUGAUUCACCGAUGGGGCCAAUCAUCGGCAUGUGACCCCAGUUGCCAGUUUCGCUGUUGGUUUCAACGACCAGCUCACUUCCCUUGGUGGCGCACCACCUCCGAUUAUCUUCCUUAACUUGUCCUUGACCUCCAGCGACCGUAGCUCCCCAUCUACACUGGUUUUGCCGUUGGUGUCAAAAUCGGAGCUUGAUCUUCAUCCAGUGCCAAACCAGUGCAAAUCCAGCGCAAUCUAGCUCUCCUUCGGCGAUUUUCAGGUUCUUCGGAAGUCCCUUGACAUCAUUAUGUGCCGUGGAGGCUUGAUUAUUGAUUGAUCGAGCUCAAAUCAAUCAAAACACACAAAAGGUAACUGUCUGUCCUUAAGCUUGAUGAAGUGAGGUUGUUCUAGACAACCGGGGCUAGAGCUCACCCUAGGAUUUUUGUAUCUACAAAAUAUGACGUAUUAGCAUGUUAGAAUGGCCAUAGGUUUGCCUUGAUUGAGCUUGGUUACAUUGAAAGAGUUUGAUUGUUUCAUUGUGCCUUGUUCUACAAAAAUCGUGUACCUCUUUGAUAGAUCUAAAACAUGCGGUGAUUUGAGCUUGUUAUUGUGGUUUUCUGUGUUUGAUAUCUUCAUGAUAUUUGUAGACGACUCGAGGAUCUUUCCAAUGACAUAAAGAAUGUCCUGAUUUGGUGUCGUUUACUACCUAAAAACUGCGUAGGAAUCGGUGCAUAUUUUUAGGAAUUUUAAUGUGUUUUGACCUAUUCUAUGUUUCACCGACCUUUACUUUUUAUUGAUUUUUUGCUAAUUUUUGUGAUUCGAGUUCUGAGUUGGUUUCAAAUUGCUUAGAACACACUUCUCUACAACAUAUAGUUUUUCCAAAAUUUCAGUAGCCAUGUCGGUAGGUAAAUUUGCAUUGAAACAUCCAUGCUGGUCUUUGUAAUCUGGAGUUUCGAACUGACCUUUGCCUAUUCCAUGAUUUUUUUUGAAAAUUAUGCGUUGCAAAUUAAAGGUUGUAUCCUCAUGAAGUUUGCUAAGAACAUCUAGGGCUACAACAUAUAAAAUUUUGAAAAAAAUAAUAAAGUCAUAUGAUAGGGUAAAUUGCCUAAAGAACGUGAGUUAUCGGUUCUAUUCUCCUGUGACCUAUACUGUUUGUCGAUUUUCUACUGAUUUUUUGAGUUUUAUUAGACUUAGAUUCUUUUGCGAGAAAUGAUCCAAAUUUAUGUUAUGCAUCCAUGAAUUUUUCCAGAAUUUUUUUGAUGACAUUGGGAUGGUGAACAAAUACUCGUGUUCCAUGAAAUUACUUCUGUGAUUUGGUCUGACAUGAGUUGCCGUGCAAUUGUCUUCAAUCGAGCUCUUAAGAGCAAAAUUAGUGCAUGAAUCCUUCUAGACAUGCUAGGAGACUUCAUAAGCUUCAAAAAUGACAUAUAAUUCAUGCCGAUCGGUGAUCCUUUGCUCUAUGAAUUUGCCUUGUGAAGUUGUUGCUAUGUUUAGUUCGAUUCUGCUAUGUUUGGGUUAGGGAGUGUUAGUUUACUUAGUGACAUUCAUGAAUUUGUAUGAUUUUCCUUGUAUUGAUCUAAGGUUAGAUGUUUUCAUCAAACUUAUUCAUUGCAUUUAGCCCUAUGUCAUGCUUAAAUGUCAUAAUUUUCAUGCAUCAUAGGUGGCUUAACUAGCUUCCUUUCAUGCAUCAUGUUCUGCCACGUUUUUUGCCGACUUGCACAUUUCUGCAAAUUUCAUCGUUUGAACAUGAAAUUGAUCUUAAUUGAGUUUGACGGCUCUUAGAAAUUCUUAGAGCACAUUCUAAGCUUUCCAAUGACUCCAAUUUUGUCCCCUUUGCAUGUUAUUUGAACCAGUUUUUAUUUUUGUGAGAUUUUUCUUGUAAUCUACCAUGUGAUGAAAUUCGAAUUGCUUGUUUGCUCAUUUUGAGUCUGAAUCUUUCCUAUUUUUGUAUGAUUGUUUUUUUUUUUUUUUGGGUGAGGAUUCUGAGGUUGGCUCUUCAAAGAAAGUUAUUCAUUACUUGUAUGGCUACAAUAUACUUAAAUUUCAUAAUUUUUAGACAUCAUUAGGGCAAAUUGCCAUUGAUAUUCUCUGAUAUCUUACUACUCUACACUGUUUCUGAUACAUUGCUCUCUGUUCUUGGAUUUUUUUAGAAAUUCAUGUGUAGAUUAUCUUAGAAAACUUCUUUCAUAAAAGUUGUUCCUUAUUGAAUCCUUAAUGUGCCAUGAUUUUUUUCAGGACCAAUGAUAAAUGAGUCAUACUUCAAUUGCUUGAAUCUUCUAUGCUCUGUUCUAGCAUGCUCUGUUUGUCCUUUAUGACUUGUCUCUGUUGUAGCAUUUUUAGGAAAUUAUGCAUGUUGAUUUGGUUUUUGAUGUCUUCACGAGUUUUGAUCCUCACAUUCGGAACUUCACAUAGAAUUUUUUUUCAAAAAAAUAAAAAGAUAGCUCGGUAAUUGCAUCGAGCCCCUCAAAAUUACUGGACAACUCGACAUUUCGCAUUCUUACUUGUUAUAGAAUUGCUUUUCAUCCAUAUGGUGCCCUAUUAUACAAAUUUCUUUAAUUAGAAUCCUCUUCUUGUUUGAACCAUAUUUAAAGCAUUUGCAAAGCCCGAUCAACUGUGCGUGGGAUGUGCUUUAGUUAGCCUUGAUAGUUAAAUGCGUUCCAUAGUUUAGAUGCACUUAUGUCUCGUCUUCAUCAAAAUUUUCUCGAACUCAUGUCUUAAUUGAUCCAAAAAUGAUUUUUGGGCAUCAUAUGGAUCUUUUUAAUGCUUUGGUUUUACUUGUCUGGUGCAUGUGGUUGUGUUUGGUGCUUGAUGAAUGAGUGAAGUGAUUUAAUAUCGUCUCACUAAUUUGUUUGAUUGAUUGAAAACCAAAGUCUAAAAGCCUCCAUGCAUGUUUACUUUCAAACUAUGCAUGUGAUUUUUAAAUAUAUGCAUAAGCAAGAUGCAUGUACCUGCGGAAUACUUUGGGUAACUUUUAGUACCCGAAUUAGGGGUUUGUUAGUAUUAGCCACAAUUUGUGAACAUAAACGUUGACUAAUUACUACAAACCAUUAAAAUGAUUGGAUAAAAGUCUUAGUGUAACUCAUUGCAUGAACAAUCAAAGGCCAACCCUGAGGCCAUUCUUGAUAAUCGUUGCUAAUUACUUUGUUUAAUGUUAUUGAUGUUAUACUUGCCACGAUCGAUUGUUAUUGCCAUGAAUUGCCUUUUCCAUUCUAAAAACUAGACUAACAUUAGAAUAAGUCCAAGAAAGCGGCUCUUGGAGAUGGCGAUUUUGAAGACGGUGAUGGUCAAUGUCCGUUCCAAUCUUUUCUAUGUAAAUGGCGAAUGGUCGAUGUCCCUUCUAACCAAUUUCCUUGUAAUAUUCAUUACCCGACAUAUGUCUUCUUAUAUGCGUUGUAUAAAUGCCUGGUGAGUUGCGAGUUCUUCCUUGCUUUCCUUUCCUUUAAUUCUGUUUUAGGAUUGCAUGCUAGAUUUACUGUUUUCCUUAAAUUGUCUUGGGUGUUUACUUAUCGCACUGUCCUUUAAAUUUCAAUUGUUUGCUUUCUUUUUUCUUUUUAAGUAGAGAUCGAAUGUCAUGAAGAUCACCUCAUUUAUAAAUUACAAGGAAAAGUAAAAAGACACGCAUGUACAUGUUAGGUAAUGUGACAAUUGUUAGGUACCGAAAGGACAUUAAUAUAAAUAUUGACAUAACCCGAGUCCGCAAGCCUUAGAUCUCUGAUUGCAUAGGUGUCCAAUGACCACUCUUAACUCUCGAUUGGGUACUUUAGUUGGACCCCAACAAUGGGGUUAGUGGCAACUCCUAAAAUGAUAUAUUAAGUUGUCUAAACAACUUAGAAACAAUAAACCCAUCAUGAGGGGUUCACAACCUUGAUUUGGCACACUCAAAGUGGUUGAGGUGAAGAGAUGAAGUGAUGCCAUCUUUAGCUUAUGUACAUUUGAGAGGACUAUCAUGAUUGUGAACCCUUAAACUCAUCUUUUUGAGAUUGAGUCAUGACUAAUCCUGCUGUCACGCGAGAUAUGAGUUUGGGAGAGCUUACGGCUGUGAUUAAGCGAACUCUGUGAUUGAUCCCAAAAAUGUGAGGGAAUUCUUAUAGUUGAGCAUCUCUAAACCUGUCGUCUCACUAUAAAACCCAAAAAACUAAGGCCAAGUCACGAUAUGCAUUUUACCCCAAUGUUUUUGGUGACACUAAAAAUCUCAAUACACAUAUUUACUCAGCAUUAGGGUUAUGUUAAAUAUCACUAUUAAAAAGGGUUAGUAUCAUGCAAAAUCAAAAUUGGUACAUCUGUCAAAUUUACCUCAAACUAAUAUUUUAAUCAUAAAAAACUCCAAACUAGUACAUUUUUGAUAAAUUUACCAUAUGUUAGUUUCUGUUAAUUUUUACCGUUAAAUUACUAAGUUGGAGGACACUUGACAAGUUGAUAAUUGUAGUAGUUUGUGGUUUUACCCUUCUUUUGUCACAUAUAUACCAGUUUGUGAUUCUUCGUAGUAUUAUUUCAAUUUAACGGAAACUAAUAGAAGGUAAAUUUGUCGCAAAUUUACUAAUUUUGGAUUUUUUGUGAUAAAAAAAUGUUUGAAAUAUAUUUUUCACAAAUGUACUAAUUUAUGAUUUUUCUGUGGUAUUAACCCAAAUAAAAAUAAUAAUUAAAUCAACCUGAAGUACUAUUCAUCAUCUUAAGUGCUUGUCCAUCGCUGCCCAAACCUGCCAAGACAUCCGACCAUGUAUCAUCUUUUUGUUUUUUUUUUAGUCUUUUGUUGUAAUCUUCUUUCUUGUUUCGGUACAUCUUUCUAGGUAAACUCUUCCAUUUCUCUUAUACUUUUUAUUUUUUUGUCAAACAUCUUUCCUCUACUUUCUUCAGUCAAAUAUUGGCAAAAUCAAUCCACAGACUUCACCACCUUGAUCACCGGCUUCUCCAAACCUCGGAAAUCUAUCCACCGGAAGAUUAGCAACGAUAGCCGAUGGUUGCAACACUAUGGCUCUCCAAGGCAUAUUCCAUUGAUAUUGUGAAAUUCCGUGGCUUUGAGAAAAAGAGGGAAAAUGUUCGACAACUAUUGAUAAAAUGGAUUAAAGACAUGGAGAGUAGCCCUAGUAAUGCAAAAGCUCAUGAAAAAGAGGAAUAAUGGAGUGACAUGGAUAGCUUGGCAACGCCAAAUCUCAGUAAGCUCAACUGCUAGCAAAACACAAAAUUGACUUUAAAUCUUAUUCUCACAACUCGUCAUGCUAAAGUUUGAGCCUAGUAAAAGGUUAGCUUGGUGAGCUGAUUGAGGGAAAAAGGAACCUUUAGAUGGACGUGACCAGAGCAAGAUCUCACUCUUGAACAUAGAGUAAGGCUCGUCGUCACCGGUUAGACUCAAGGUAGCCAAGCCCCCACAUCCUCGAUCCUAGGUUGGGGAAGUACGGACAACCUCGACCAAGGUCAUUGUCCAUGGAUGAUGAACAGUGCAUUAAAGACAGAAUAGUAAUCACGAUAACAAUGUUUCGAUUAUUUUUGCUUUCUAGUCUUAAUGCGUGGCGCCACAUCAACACUACGUUAGAUUUUAAUAGUGAUUUUUAACAAAGCCUUAAACUUAGGGUAAAUGUGUCACUCGGAUAUUAACUAGAGGUUUUUUAGUAUUUUUUUUUCAACAUCAAGUAAAUCCUAUACUAUUGUUACUAUCUUCACUUUUAUUUUUACUACAAUUCAUCAUCCCUUGAGUACCUUUUUUUUUUUUUCAUAUCACACAAAUGAUAAAAAAAAAGGAUUCUUAUCACAGAAAAUCCUAAAUUGAUACAUCCGCACAACAUUUUUUAUUCCAAAUUAAUUUUCGUGUAAAAAAAAUCCUUAAUUGUUAUAACCGUGCCACUUUUACCCCCAAAUUAAUUUUUAUGUUAUUAAAAAAAAUCCAGACUGGUACAAUCAUGCUACAUUUAAUCCAACUUUUUGUGUUACAAAAAAUUCAGAAUAGGAACUCUUAACUAUGUUAAAAGCUAAUGAUUUGAGCUUGAUAUCUUAGAAGUGAAGCAGAUAGGCAAGAAAACAAGGUAUUUAUGAGCUUGCUGAGAGUUUUAUGAAAUUGAAGUUAUCAGCGGAUUCCAUUUCAGAAUAAUUGGCUUAAAUACAUGUUGCUAAGGUUUAUUUUGGAAUAGACUACUUUUAUGGAUAUUGAGAUGACAAGAAACGAGUUAAUAAGGUCGAUAUUGAGAUUUUCAGUGAUACAAAAAUAAGUUUGAAGUAAAUUUGGUACUAACGUACCAAUUUUGAUUUUUUUGUAACAUGAAAAAUUAGUUUGGGAUAAAUGUUGUACCGGUACUAGUUUGAGAUUUUUUAUGACAUAGACAUUAAUUUGGGCUAAAUAGGAUAGGAGUGUACCGGUUUGUGAUUUUUGGUGUUAUUAUUUUGGAAAGAAUGAAAAUCGGACACAAACAUUUCAUGAAAAAAUAGUUCAAGUCUUAUCUCCUUUGAGAUGGGUGUCAAGUGUUAGCAAACAAGUAAUGUUCAUGGGAUCGUUCCUAGCAUAUGUUGAUAAAGCCGGAGUUGGGAGUGGUCAUUCUGGUACUUCUCACUUAACACUUCUCAUUAACUCCAUGUUUGUCACGUAGCUCAGUGUUACUUUUCGAUUAUUUCCAUGUCAUCCUGAACUAUUAUAUGUUAUUUUUCAAAUUUUAUUAAUAGAUAAAGUCAGUAUUUAAACAUCUUUGAAUGCUAAAACAAUCUAGAGUAAGAUUUGUCGAAAUAAUUAAUUUAAACUUAUAAAAAAUGAUUGUUCCCUCUCGAUUACAAUGAAACUUUUCUCUCUCGACAUGCAGAGUCGCCUGUCUAUCGCCAUGGUAGUUUUCAAACCCUAAUCCCCCAAAUUUACCGUUUUGUCUCCAUCCACCAUCUUCGGAUAAUCCCCUCUUCCAUACAUCUAGCAGGAUUUCCUUGUUUGGGUUGCUGCAUGUCUGUAUUCCGUCCACUUCGGCCACCUUCGGAACUCUGAGUUUGGUUCGUUCCCAUGCAGUACUUCUCCUUCCAUUGUUAAUUGUCCUCAUCGCAUAUGGCCUGCAUCAAUCUCUGGCUUAUUGGUUUUCUGAAUGGCAUCGGAUGACCAUGAGGAAUCUUCGCGUUUGUCAGCACUUUGCAACCAGUUAGGUCGUCUUACUACAGAACACACUAUAGAAGACUGGAAUGAUGCACCGUCCCCUGAAAAAAUAGCAGAAUGUCGUUUGACUUUAGUAGGACUCAUUCUAUCCAACCCUACUAUAAAUAUUCCAGCUCUCCACAGUACGUUAACGCGCGUCUGGCGCAUUGACCAGGUAGCAAUUUCACAGCCAGAGGCAGGUAUCUUUGUAUUUAAAUUCCAGACUCAAUCAGCAAAACAAAAAGUUAUUGAAGGGGGACCUUGGAAUUUCUCUGGCCACUUGGUUAUCCUUAAACCAUGGAUCCCUAAUACUCCUUUACAUUGCUAUGACUUUUCCAUAUGUGCAUUAUGGGUUCAUGUGGUUGGUUUACCUUUAGAAUGGUGUACGGAAUCCAUGAUCCGCAGAGCGGUGCAAUAGUUGGGUCGGGUAUUGGAAAUUAGAAUUGAUACAAAAGAUGGAAACUCAUCCAGACCUGUGAGAGCCAAAGUGGAACUAAACUUGCAGGAUUCUCUUAAGACAGGGAAGUUAAUUCGACUUGAGGGUAAGCACCUAUGGCUCGAUUUUCGGUAUGAACGACUGUCGCAUUUUUGCUACUCGUGUGGAAAGUUGGGUCAUUAUGUGACAUAUUGUGCGGAUAUACCCUUUGAUGAAGCAUUAUUAGCAGGUAAAGGUAACAUGGCCUAUGGCAACUGGCUUCGGGCUGAGGUUAGGGUGCAUAGCCCGUAUUGGCAAACUUUCUAUACGCCACAAAACAAUACUGAUCAACAGGAAGAAAACGUACCUGAAACUCCUCCCUCACAAAUUCCCCAAGUUCCUUUAUUGCCACGUCUAGUUACUAAUGAUCCUGUGCCAUCACAUGUCCCUCUAUUACUUCAACCAGCAAAUGUGGAUCCUAUGCACCAGAAUGAGGCUAUUGCUACAAGUAAUACCACCCAGCGAGUGGUCCCUAAUCAUCAGCUAGUUAUUCCUGCACCCGAUAAGUUAAAAGGUGUUCAGCAUCAGCCCAUGGAAGCAAAGGAGCACAAGAAGUUGAAGAAUGCGAGAUUGACCCCAAAACUAGGGGUGGCCAAGAAGUUAAAAAGGUACAACCCCUAUGAGUCCAAAAGUUUGACGAUACAAGAUCAUGAUGACACUAAUCUCAUGGAAACACCAGUUUAUAAGGCUGAGGAAAUCGGAGCGUGGGCUUCGGUGGCUGGCCCUCAACAGCCACCACCUCACAAAUGAAGAUGAUCUGCUGGAACUGUCAGGGAUUGGGCAACUCCCUGACAGUUCAAGCUUUAAGGGCCAUGUCGGCCAAGGAAAAGCCCACAAUAGUUUUUUUGUCGGGAACCAAGAACUAUGAAGUGAUGGUUAGAAGGAUUCAGCGUCGACUUCAUUUUCCUAAGUCAUAUAUCGUAGACCCUACAGGUCUGGCGGGAGGGAUGGUGCUAUUCUGGACUAAUCAGGUAACUAUAGAUGUGCUCCGGUCCACACCUAACUAUAUAGACAUGCUUUAUCAUGAAUUCCAAAAUGAUCGGACUAUGUGUAUAACUUGCAUUCAUGCUCCAUAUGUCUACCAUACUCGUCAACUUUUUUGGAAUGAACUUCGGGAGAUUAAUUUUGCUAACACAUUCCCUUGGUUAUGCGUUGGGGAUUUCAAUGACGUUCUUUAUCCAUGGGAAAAGUUUGGAAAAAAACAAGCAGAUCGACAUUGAAUGUUAUCUUUUCGGGCACUUAUCAAUGAUUGUUCUCUUAUGGAGUUACCAAGUAAAGGAUGUAAGUUUACCAGGAUGAACAAUCGCACCGGAAAUGAGCUGGUGAAGGAAUGUCUGGACAGGGCAAUGUGUUCGAUGGAUUGGAGACUUUUAUUUCCUGCUGCUGAAGUUUCUGUGCUUCUUGCUAUUGGGUCUGACUAUAGCCCAUUGAUAAUUAAUUCUUCAGCAUCCUACAAGACCCCGAAGAAAUCCUUUACUUUUGAAGUUUUAUGGAAUGAAGAUAAGGAAUGCAGUGAACUAAUUUCAACAGCAUGGAAUUUAGUCAGGGUAAAUGGAUCAGGCAUCAUCUCAAAGUUACAACAUACAUCUACAGUCCUAACAAGGUGGAGUCGCUCAAAAUUCUCCAGAGGUGAUCUUAAAAUAGCAUAUUUACAGCAACAACUUCGACAAAUUACCAAUCAGCAGCAUGCAUAUCAAAAUAGAUCUGAAGUUACUAAGCUCAAGGAGGAAAUUAGACAGAUUUGGCAGCAAGAAGAACAAUUCUGGGCUAUGCGAUCUAGAAUCCAAUGGUUAAGGUGGGGCGAUAAAAACACCAAAUUUUUUCAUGCGACAACUCUUCAAAGAAGGCAACGAAAUCGCAUUACUAUGCUCCAAGAUCAUAACAACCGGUGGAUUAGGGAUCCCUCUGCUUUACAGGUAAUGACUUGUAAAUUUUUUUUUGACAUAUAUACUACAGUGGGUCCUCGCAAUUACACUCCUAUCCUCCAACAAUGUCCAAGGGUUGUUACUACACAAAUGAACAAUGCUUUACUGGAAGAGGUGAGUCUAGAGGAGAUUCGUCAGGCUACUUUUCAACUGGGGUCUACUAAGGCACCAGGCCCUGAUGGUUUCAACAGGAUAUUCUAUCAAUCUCAUUGGGAGGUAAUCAAAGAUGAUCUGUUUCUUCUAGUUAAGAAGUUUUUCGAAACAAGCCAGAUGCCACCUAUCUUGAAUCGCACUAUUCUGGUUUUGAUUCCCAAGACGCCUCAUCCAGGAAAAAUAGAACACUAUAGACCAAUUAGCCUUUGUAAUUUCGCCUACAAAGUCAUUUCCAAGGUGCUAGCCAACCGCCUCAAACAUUGGUUACCUCAGUUGAUAUCUAUGGAACAAACUGCUUUUGUCAAUGGACAGAUCCAAGACAACAUCUCAAUCUUUCAAGAAGUUCUUCAUCAAUUUAAAACACGACAGCGGAAAACAAAAUUCAAUGCAAUUCUUAAGACUGAUAUGCAGAAGGCCUAUGACAGAAUUGAAUGGGAUUUUCUUAGGGACUACUUAAUUCAGGUGGGCUUCCAUCAUAUGUGGGUACAAUGGAUAUUACAAUGUGUCUCAACUACAUCCUAUAGUAUCAGAUUCAAUGGGGAGCUACUUCCUUAUAUUUUCCCUACUCGUGGUCUAAGACAAGGUAACCCUCUCUCACCAUAUAUCUUUAUCCUGGUGGCGAAUGUUUUGUCAAUAUUGAUCAGCCAAGCAGUUAAUAUGGGCCAACUAAAGGGUAUCAGAUUCAAUAGGUGGUGUCCCACCCUUUCCCAUUUAUUUUUUGCUGACGAUGCAAUCUUUUUCCUCGAUGGCAGCAUUCGUAAGUGUCAAAACCUGGCUAAUAUCUUAAAUCAGUACUGUCUAGCCACGGGCCAAGCAUUGAACCGCAACAAAUCAGGGCUUAUUUUUAGUCGGCAUUGCCCUAUGAGACUGCGGGAAAAUAUGUCUCUCGAACUAAGAAUUCCUGUAUCACUACGGGCUGGUAACUAUCUGGGUAUCCCUUCAGACUGGGGUCGCUCCAAAAAGGACAUGUUUUCGUGGAUCCUAGCACGUGUUCACUCAAAACUCGAAGGAUGGAAGGAAAAGCUCAUAUCAAAGGGGGGUAAAGAAACUCUUAUCAAGUCUGUCAUCCAGGCGAUUCCGCAUUAUGCUAUGUCUGUUUUUAGAUUGCCCUUAUCGUUGUGUAAAACUAUUGAGAAGAACAUUGCAAGGUUUUGGUGGAAAACUGAUAUGCACAGGGCAGGCAUUCAUUGGAAGAACUGGGAAACUCUUAAAAGUAGUAAGGUCAAGGCGGGCUAGGCUUUUGGGAUCUCAUAGAAUUUAAUAAAGCCAUGCUCGGCAAGCAAGCAUGGCGUGUACUCCAACAAUCUCAGGCUUUAUGGGUUCAACUUUUCAAAGGGCUAUAUUUUCACAACACAGAAUUUAAAUCAGCACCCAAAGGCAGUCGUCCAUCAUGGGUUUGGCAGAGUAUUCUUACAAGUCGAGAUGCUAUCCUACCAUAUACUAGAUGGUCAGUAGGCAAUGGGAGGAAAAUCUGUAUCCGUGAGGAUCUAUGGUUAAAAAGUGGAACCUUGUUUGGUCUUGCCAACAGAGAGGACCCGAAGUUAGUGGCUGACCUAAUAGAUGCUACUCACAAUACUUGGAAUGUACCUUUGCUACAUCGCAUUCUAGAUGAGCCAACUGUUAAAGAAAUUUUGACCAUACCAGUUAGACCUCUUUAUGUAGAAGACAAAUUGGUCUGGCCAGCUACAAAGGAUGGCAUGCACACAGUCAAGAGCAAUUAUCACAUUCUAACAGACAAAUCCAGCCUCAAUAACAACCAGACAACAUCAACCUCUCAUCGGAUACCUAUUACUCUCUGGCGCAAAAUCUGGUCUUUGAAAACUGCCCCCAAAGUCAAAACCUUUCUCUGGUCACUUUGUCAAAAUGCUGUAGCAUCCCGAGCAAACCUAUUCCGCCGAAGCAUUACUUCAGAUCCUUACUGUCAACUAUGCAAUCAGCAAAAUCCAGAAACAAUAGAACAUCUAAUACUAUUGUGCCCAUGGACUCGCCUUAUUUGGACUCAUCCAGCAAUCAACAUUGACAUUCAGCAUAAGCACACCCAUAGAUUUGAUGUUUGGCUUGCUGCAAAAUCAAUAUAAACAGCGAACUCACCUUCUUUAGAGCUUCUUGCAAAUGUCUGCUGGCACAUCUGGAAAAUGCGGAACAGCUACCUCUUCCGCAAUCAAUGGCUCCAUUCCUCCAUGGUAGUCGAAACAGCUUUGACGGAGACGAGGCUUCACCAGAUCACCUCUACCUCCCCUUCCUCUGGGCGGCAAUCUGUGCUCAACCUGAACCCCUAUCAGCUAUGGAGACCGCUUGAUUUGGGUACAUUAAAAUGUAACGUUGAUGCUUCAUAUCAACCAGAGAGCACAGAAGGGGCGAUGGCUGCGGUAUUUCGAGAUCAUCAGGGAAGACUUAUUGAGAUCUACACCAAACGUUUUCCCGUUGCUUCAGCACUGGUAGCGGAGUUCCACGCCCUCUCCUUCGCGAUCCAGCACUUGAUAGCACAAGGCUUACAGCAUGCUAGGGUUGUGAUCGAAUCGGACUGUAGAUCAGUGGUGGAUGCCAUCACAGGAAGGAGAUCUGCGCCAUGGGAGCUUCGUCCCCUGCUUGCGGAGGCUGCUGCACUGCUGCCGCUGUUCCCUAAUCUUAUGAUACAGUGGUGUCCUCGGGAAGCAAAUGGAGUUGCAGAUUGGGCUGCAAAGGCCCAGCGAGAUUCAACUUUGGCCCACAAUUGGAAUAUCUUCCCCCCUCUUAUUUUGAUGAAUCUGCUAUAUGUCAAUGCCCUUCUGGCCGGUUGUAAAUUGACGUUUCUAUGAAUAUAUGCUUUCCUUUGACCAAAAAAAAAAAAAUUAAGAAUAAAUUAGAGAUGUGUGUUUUCUGUGUCUUAAAAUGGUAAGAGCACAUAGAAACAUGGGAUUGAUGCAAAAAGAUAUUCAGAACUCCAAGAUGUGGUGCUGACUAUGAUGGACGCGACACGAGGUUUGUUAAUAUAGUAUUUGUAUUGUUGUUUCUUGGUUAUUAUCUACCUCUUCUCUCUUUGUACUUCAGAUUGAGAGAUUUAGGAAAUAUCUUGAAAUACAAUUAAAAAAAUAUGUCAUCUUGAAUAAAAUUAAUGAUGAAAAAAUUAUCCUAAUCAAUUUAAUUCACUUAAGCCUAAGAUAAUAAGAUUACUAAUACAAUUUAAAUUACAAAAGGUAUCUAAAUUAGUUUGUUGAAGUAUCAUGUGGCUUGACAAUGAAUCUUAUAUGCUUUAUCUAUAUGUAUAGCGUUGAAAAUACUUCAAUAUUUAUUUAUAAUUAGCUCAUCCCAUUUUGCAUUUCUUCCUCCUUUCGUUGGUGUUGGAAAUACUUCAAUUCACAUGUUUUGCGAGUUUUGCACUUUUAUGUCUCGUCUUACCAAUUAAGUUAAACUUUUGACUAGAACAAUUGUGGGCAAAUAUGAUUCGACCGCUAUGAAAUUUGACGCUUUAGCCAGAAAAUCUUUCUUCGCCACAUGUCAUUAGACACGAAAUUUUGUGUCGCCGAAGCUACUACAACCCACAUAACUUUCGUUGGAUAUGGUCGGCCCUUUAGCCACGAAAUAAAAUCUGUCGUUAUUGAGUGUCUAUUUUACGCCUUUUGCCAUGAAAUAUCCCGUGGUGAAAAGUAUACAUUUCUGCACAAAAUUACUCGAUUUUGUUUCUAAAGGUGUAUUGCCACAUGCCUUUAGCCGUGACAUUUCCGCCACCAAGAUUUCCGUGGCCGCGAAUUUCCAGGCUUCUAGCCCCGAAAUUCUGCCGCGGUGAAAGGUCGAUUUUCUUGUAGCAAGGAUUCACCGCUAACAAUGGAAAAAAGUGGAUAAGGCCGUACGUGAAGAACACAUUUUUUAUACUGAUGGUGGAAAAGACAUGGAUGUACAGAAAACAUGUCACUGAUCAUACAUAUGAUGGAAGGUACAUACAAGAUACUGGAAAAACAUUUAUUCGCAUUAAAAUGGCUCAUUAGAAAGCAACGUGAACGAUAAAUAUAAUUCCGAAAGACAUCUCAUAUAAAUCUACAUAUUAUAUAUUAUACAUAUACGAACAAUCUUUACAAAGAAAGGGCAGACCCCAACAGUUUAAAGCUACACUUAGGUAACCUCAUAUGGUACUAAAAUCUGCGGGGGCUGGUGGCUGGAGGAGGAGUGAGGAAAGGAAUGUAGGGAUGCUCAGCAUUGGGGGCAAGGUGGUUGGCAUGGUCGGCAUGUUUGGAAGUGGCGGCAGAGCAGUGGUGGGCAAUGUUGGCUGGGUGGUGGCUAGUGUCGGCAAUGUGGGCUGAGGUAGGGUCGUAGGGAUGGCAGGCAAUGUGCGCAUGGACAGCAAUGGUGGCAGCGAAGUGGGUAUUGAUACUGUUGGUAAUGUGAGAAGGGAUGGUAUGGAUGGCAUAGUUGUUAAUAUCGGUAGUGUUAGUGUUGUAGGAAGGGGCCGUAUGGAUAGUCUAGUUGUUUGCCACAAAUGACAAGUUCUGAAACUUAUAUUGGCAGUUGAGAGAACUAUAGCGAUGAAGAGAACAAAGCUCUUUGGGUGAUCAGCCAUCUUGGUAACUGCAGCAUGGAUGUUAUGUUGUGAAAGACUCAAGGACUUGAAAUCAAUGAGCUAAGAGGCAUGGAUUGCUACUUGCGUGAGUAAAUGGAGGACAGAGAUGGGAGUUUAUAUAGCUAGAGAUAGUUCAAAUAGAAUAUUGGGUUGUAAUAAUAAGUUGGUGACUGGCUUUUGGGUAUGGUUAGGAAAAAGAACAAAGAACAGAACAUCUCUUUAAUUGGUUCUUUGUUAGCUCACCUCCUUAGCUCAAAUCUCCUGAAAGAUGGCCAAUGCUGGCUCGGGGCAUCAUCACGGCUCCUUAUUGUUAGCAGACUCGGAUUAGUACAACUGCUCACCAUGAAGGACCGUGCUAGGCUAAGGCCCAAGAGGGUCAGUCCGUGUUGUGUCUAGGCCAGCACAGCUUAAUAUUCUUAGGGUAGGGGUUCGUUAAUGUACAUGUUAAGAUAAGCAAAUGCUAAAGUUCAUGUCCUUUGCAAACUGUGGCCUUUCAAAACCAUAGAUUUUAAAGGUAAUGUGUGAGUGUAAUGAGUCGAAUUCAGGUCUUGAGUCGGAAAGAGAAUUUCAAAGUGUAAUUGUCGGUGUGGUAUAAAACCGAUAAGUUAUGAUCUUGAUAAAGGACAAAGGAUAUAUAACGCAAAGUACUGCAUGAAAAUUAAAGAAGAAAAGAAAAGGAUGUCAUAUAAUUUGGAGUAGAAUUAAGUAUGUUAGUUUUUUCUUUUUUCCUUUUUUUUUUGGCGAGAGAAGAAUGCUAGUUCACUAUUGUCUUAAAUGCAAUAUCUCUGAGUACCAGAAACUUAUUCUUUUAGGUUAAGUUUAAUAUCGACAAAAAGAAAAGGGUUAAGUUUAAAUUAUCAAAAAUAGAGGAAAUAAUGGACUUCUAUCAAAUUGAGUGAAUACAAGUAUUAUUCCCUAAAGAUUUCUUGGUCAAUGUUUUUUUCUCAUUUUUUUAAUUCAAUACUUUAAAGUGUACUACUAUGUAAUCUUCAGGGAAAUUUUCCAAUAAUAGCCUAAAAUGGGAUUAAUUUCUCAAAAGAUGAUGUAAAGUGAACCUUUAUUUCAAAUAAAUGCCUCAAGUAACCAAGUUAAUCUCAAAUAAGGAUAUGAGCUCGCCAACCAGUCAAUCACUCGAUAAGCAUUUGAUUUUUCUAGUGGCUGGCAAAGGGUAUUUUUGUCCAAAGCAAAACCUAAAGAUUAAAAGAGAGAGAGAGAGAGGAAGGGACAAAUGUAUUGGAAACCCUAAAACUUAUCAUGAAAGUGUAAUUAAGUUUUAAAACUUUCAAAAAGUGCAAGUAAAUCCUAAAACUUAUUGAAUAGUCCAAUUAAAUCCUCCCAUUUAUGACAUUUUUUUGAAAUUUUUAAAAUUUGAUUGCACUUUUGUAAUAAUUUUUAGGAGUUGAUUGUACUUUUUGAAAGUUUUAAAACUUGAUUGCAUUUCAUGAAAAUAUUAUGACUUGAUUAUAUUUUUUGAAAGUUUGAAGACUCAAUUGCACUUUUAUGAUAAGUUUUAAGAUUUUUAGAGCAUUUAUUUUUGUAGUAGAAUUGCAAAAGAAAAAAAAGGGGAAAAAAAAAAAGAAUCUCCUGAAACACCACCUUCAUGAACAUAGCACCCCAACCAUGUUGAAGAUCCGACAGCUUCAAGUCACUCCAAUCAGACUGCCAUUAAAUUUUUUUCCUUUCGUCAAUAUUUUUUCUUCUCAAUCCCGUCCCAUCAACCAUUACCAGUGAUUCUUUCUUCACUUGAGUCCUCACUCCUACCUAUAUGCUUCGCAGCAUGUCUCCGGAUUUCCAUAGGUCCUUCGUCUACACCAUUCUUGGCAAUAUUCAUAUGUUUUGUUCAUGUCCUGAUUGCUGUUGUUCGGUGGUUUUUUAUGAUGCAGGAAGGUGGCGACGAUCUAGUGGGUGAGGUCAGGAACUAGAGCUGCGCUAUCAAUUUGGCGUUCAACGAUGAUGGGAAUGACUACGAUGAUGAGGACGAUGGUGCAGAGAGGCUUGGCAUCAAGCUCCACCACCUGAGAUUUGCAAUUGAACUCCAUCAUGACAUUGAGCAUCAGCCGACCCCAGGCAAGGGUUGACAGUACUCGUCGGCGAAGUUGGAAUCGUGUUGGCACACACAUAUUUGAUCAUCUACAAUCUCCUUUUCUCCUUUGGUUUGAUGGGGUGUGAUUGAGAAGCUGUUGAAUCUUCGACAUGGUUGGGGGUGCCGUGUUCAUGUUGGUGGUUCAAGCGAUUUUUUUUGGCUUUUCUAGUUUUCUAUUAUUUAAUAUUUUUCAAUUUUUUUUGAACUAAAAUGCCCUGCUAGCUUAGGCGAAAGUGGCCCUUGACGAGGUCCAGCGGGUAGCCAAUGGAAGGAAAAAGGGAAAAAAGAAGAAGGAAAAAGUAAAGAAAAGAAAUAAAAAAAUUCAGAAAAAAAAUAUUAUUAAACAUUAUCCACGUUAGUGUUAGUUAUGCCACGUGGGAUGAUAAAUGUUCAUGUCGGUUAUUUCUAAUUAAAAUUGACCGAAUUGACUCAAUUAGUAAUAUAUAUAUAUAUAUAUAUAUAUAUAUAUAUAUAUAUUUAUAACUAAAUUAGUAAAAAUUUAAUAAAUUUAAGACUAUUUGGAUAAUUUUCCCAUUCUUUGACAAUGCUUGCAAAGAUUAUGUACACAAAGGAGGAUCAAGGAUCUCCGUCCUCCUAGGAACAUCGUUAACAUUAAUAAAUGUUUACUGCCAACGGCAGCUUCGGAUUUCAGAAGGUCAGACGUCCCAGUUGACAUGGCUGAGGCCAUAAUGGCCUUAAAGCUAGCUAAAGACCUUGCCUUACCUUCCGUGGAGACUGAAUCAGACUGCACUCACGUGAUGUCUCUUUAUCCACCAGCGCUGUCCGCCAAGACAUCAUCCAUUUCAGGUCUGCUUGUUCAGACGCUCCUCUGUUCGAAGACAAGGGAAUAUAGUGGAUCGUAUUCUAGCUCAAAAGGGCAGACAUUCGACCAGAAACUGUGCGGGUGGAGGAAGGACCUGAUUAUCUUCUUCUGCUUUUACAGUCUUUACGGAUUCCACCUCUCGAGUUGAUUAAAAUAAAAAAAGUUCUUUUCCCACUUAAAAAAAGGGGUGCCUUCGAUUGAUGGUGAUUAUCAUAUUGAAAAAGGGAAAGUACCCUUGAUCAAAAACGUUGUAUUGACGAAAAAAAUGUGUUCAAACUUGGAGAUUUGUCAAUAGACGAUAUGUCCAGGUGUCACAUUAGCCAUUAUUAAUUAUCACCAUAUUGUUCUUAUUCUAUUAGUUUUGGGAGUGAGUAAGCGAUUUCUGCAAGCUGAAUUAUUCAAAAAAUUUCAGGUACUCCAACCUACCAAGGUCUUGAAUUCCAACUACGUUUAUGUAAUUAAUUUCUCCAGACUCAAUGGCUUUAAAAGGCCAAGCCUUUUCAAUAGAACUACACCCAGGAGUACAAACAUUUCUAAGGACUCCCACCCUGUCAAGCCUUUUCAUUUCGAGUUUCAACUAAGCUUUUACAAAUCAUCGCAUUUAAUUUCUUUAGAUAGGAUGAUUAUGAGAGGUCUAGCCUUUCCAUAGAAUUGCACCCAGUGAAAAUUAGCAUUUGCAAGAAGUGUUAUCAACGCCUCACAUUUAGACUAAGUUUUCAUAACUUGUUCAAUCUAGUUUCUCCCAACGCAAUGAUUUUGAAAGGUCCAGCCCUCUAAUGAAAGUACACCCUGUGAAGAGUAAAUCAUCCAAGAACUCUGAUCGACCAAAGUCUCGGAUUUCAUUUAGGUUUUUGCAGUCUUUGGCAUCUAAUUUCUUGAGAAGCUCCGAUUGUGGAAGGUCUAAUAUCUCAAAGGAAGUGCACGCAUAUAUGUCCAACCUUUUCAAGAAGUCCAAGCUAUCAAAGUCUUGAAUUUCAAUUAAGUUCCUACAAUUUUGAGUGUCUAGUUCCUUUAAACGCUCCGAUUUUAAGAGGUCCAAUCUUUCCAUGGACUUGCACCCGUAGCAUUCAACUCUUCCAAAUUUCCAACCUAUCAAGAUCUUGAAUUUCGAUGAGUUUUUUUGCAACUUGUAGCUCGUAAUUUCUUCAUAUGCCCCCAACUUGGACAGUCUAGCCUUUCACUGGAAGCGCAAUGACAUAUUUCCAACUGUUCCAAUAUCUCUAGCCUUUCAAGUCCUUAAUAUCUGUCUUGCGUCUGUCUUUCGAUUUCCAUGGAGGCUUCAGGGUUUCUGAGACCUGCGAACCAUGAAUGGGCAUCAGUUCAAAGCAUUCUCAGAUAUAAGUUUCAACAUGGCACAUUGCGAAAUAGUAAGGUAUGCCAGUGUUGAGGGAAGCGCUGAGAUGCAUUGGAGAGAAGCGCAGCAAUCAAGGAAGACUUUCUUUUGACGAAUUAGGUGAGAAAGUCGAGGAAGGUCAAGUUGGUAGGAAGCUCCGACGGCAACUGAAGCAACCGCACAAAUCAGGGUGUUGGAGAGACAAAAGAAUGCGUAUGCUCUCUGGUAAGCUAGAAAUUUCUGUACGAAGAAAAUCCAUUCGUCUUGAGCGAAGACAAGUUCCCAAUAUCCCCGGUAACUUUCCCACACUCCCAACAGCAUUCGGUAGCUCUUUUUAUCUUGCUAUCACUAAUAUCAAGCAUUUGAAAUUCCGCAAAUUCCCUAUGCAUUCAGGCAAUUCCUUAAUUGAGGUGCUGGAUAAGUUCAGUUUAGUCAACAAUUCCGAGUCCCACUUAAUUCGGGGGUCUCCCUCGAACGACUGUUUUCUAAUGAGAUGAGCCGCAACUUCACAAGGGACCCAAUGCUUAUAGGAAGUCACAUAAGCUUAGAGUAAUAUGUCAAAUCAAGGGUCGACAAAUUCGUCAAACAGGCAAUCGAUUCCGUAAGUCGAACGAUGUAUAAUCAUUGGCAUUAAGUGUCUUUAGCUUCUCCGAGAGCCGAUAGACAAAGGAAAUUCUGGUAUUCAAAUUCCAUCUAGAAGAAGUUUCUUCAAAUUUCGUAGUUUAGUCACUUCCACCGGUAGUUCUCCGAAACUCCCACAUCACAUCAAGUGCAAGCAAAUGAGGGCCUUCGCUCCUGAAGUGUCGUUUUGAUCCAGUUGACAACAAUUUUUAAGGAUCAGACUACUUUUAAAAGCCAAUAGAAGAAACUACCUUUUAAACGUUGGCUAAGGUUGAGAGCUUUUUGAUUAUUUGCUUGGCUCAAAAGUUCGGGUAAAUGACAGAUGGCAUUACUCAUUCCACAAACAUUAAGGAGUAUUCUUUGGGCUCGUCUAUUAUUUCCGUUGGAACUUUAGGUAUUGUUCACCGAAGAAUCGACAAAGGAUGUGAAGAAUCUUUAGCUGAUUCUCGGACCAAAAACACAAUUGACAAAAAAAUUAGAAGUACCGAAAGUAGAGAGAAUCCUAGCCAUGUAAAAAGAAAAUGCAAUGUAAAAAUAAAUUGAAAAUGAAAUUGAACAAUCGGUGUUUAUUAAUUGAUUGGCCGUAACUUGCAUAAACUACAAUGGAAGUAUUUAUAUUUGCUACUGCUAGAUAACAACGGUUACAAAGAACUUAAAUACAUCAUAUGCAACUCCUAUAAAUCAGCAUCUUGUAUUUACAUAAGGGUCAUAUGACUCCACUACUUGACAAUUGCUUUUUCUCCACGUUCCAUGCCCGACAUAAUCAGUUACUUCCAAAGCUCUUCCUUCCACCAAUUGACGGUUGCAAUAAACCACGUUUCUCGACCCUUAUCAUUGGUGGAGAUUCAUGAUUCCAUCAUCUGACGGUUAUGUUGGUUUCACUUCUUCAUAGCUAGGCCCCAUAUUGUCGGCUUCAUUACUUAGAUAACUACUCUGUGUCUAGCUCAUUGUAAAUUGCGUUAGUCUGUCGACUAGGUCAAGCAUCAGUUACCGAUACUCAUGCUCUAGGACUCGGUUAUUUCCAUUUGACUUCCUGUCGGCUAAAACUAGUUAUCUUGUCGAUUAAAUGAGUUUACCAAUUAAUCGCCCUCAAUCCUUAGCAAACUCUACUUCUGCUGUAAUCUGCUCGAUCUCCCUCAGUCCGAGUCGAUGGUCAAAGACUAGGGCAUUUUUGGUGUCAACGAAUAUAUCAUCGAUUCAUAACAUAUAAACAUGGAUUCAUGGUCAGCAGAAUUCAAGUUACAAUUUUGUUGAAAGAUCCAAAAAUUCUCGAUGGUUUUGAUUUUGCAUUGUUUCCUAAUUUGUUCACGACCACACCAUUGGGAGAAGAGUCAGUUCUUGCUUUUGGUGUUGACCGAUACUGAUUACCUUAAUCAACUAAUGCAGACAGCUUUGUGAGAUAAAUUACGUGAAACACAAUAGCAGGACAAAUUUUGUGCCAAGAGGUAGUGUACGCAUACAGGCCAAUUUUCCUCUUGUAAGUUGGCCUCACCUAGCCACUGGGAAGACUUGAGCCUCGCCAGGGCUAGGAGAGGCUUGCCCUUGCCAAUGACCAGCAGGGGUGAGCUUCACUAGAGGCCAAUGAGUCGACCUUGCCAACCCUCAUCUCUAGCUGGUCUCUGAGGCUUGGCGACUAGAUAGAGGAGGAAGAAUGGAAGAAAAGAAAAAGGAGAAAGGAAAAAAAAAGGAAAAUUAAAAUAAUAAAUAAAUAAUUUAAAAAUAUUAUUAAAAAUCAUUAACAAUAACGUUGGUUGUGUCAUGUAAGACGGCUAGCAUCCAUAAAAUUGAUUGAAUGGAUUUAAUUGGCAAAAUAUGAAAAAAAAAAAAAGUUUAGGAUCCAAUUGGCACAAUUAAAUGGUUUAUGACUGAAUUGACAAAAAUACAAGAUUUAAAACAAGUUUGUCUGUUUGGAUUUGACAAAGGGAGAGCAUUGUGGGGGUUCUCAAGUAAGGGUGUUUGUGGUCGGGGCAGCCACGCUGUGAUGCACGGAGUGCAACGUCAACAUUGUGAGGCUACGAUUACUUCAUAUUGUACCAAUAAUCUCUUUUCAUCCAUUAACGAUUUAAAUAUUUUGUAACAAGGGAAUGGUGCAAAGUUCAUUAAAUAUGAUAUUUUUGCAUACACACAAAGCGGAUGCAGUUUUGCUAAUAGUUUUAUAAAGGAAACUUAUUAUUGGAUUAUGUAUGACUCCACUCAAAAGUAUUGACCAGAAAUAAAAAAUAAAAUAAAAAGGAGAGGAACAAAAAUAACAAUUUUUUUUCCUAAUGAAAGGAGAAAUAAUAUUUUUAUUUACUAAGAAACCUUUAAGGAAUAAUACUUAUAUCACUCAAUCUGAUGGUAUAAGCUCGGUUAUCUCUCUCUCUCUCUCUCUCUCUCUCUAAAUAAUAUAUACUCGAACUUAAACUAUAAACAUAAGGCUUUUGGUACGAGGUGAUAUUGCAUUCUAGACAAUAAUCAAUUAUUCUUCUCUUGCCAAAAAAAAAAAGAAAAAAAGAAAAAAAGGAACUACCUUUCUUAAUUUUGCUCCGUAUUCUAGGACAUCGUUUUCUUUUCUUCAUUUAUUUCUACUACAAUACUUCAUAUCACAAAUUCUUUGUUCAUUACGAAGACCGUAAACUAUCAAUUUUUAUACUACACCAGCAAUUGCACAUCAAAAUUCUCUUUCCCCUUCAAAAUCCGAAUUUGAUUCAUCGUACUCAUGCGAUAUCUUUAUAAGUCAUUAGUUUUGAAUGGCCUAAGUUUGCAAAUGACCUGAAAUUCAGCAUUAUGUAUAUCAACAAACCUCUUCUCGAACAAUGGUAGCCGGGCCGUGCUAGGUGGAACCUAUUAGUUAAGUAGUACCGACACUAACACGUGACACGCGCGACGAUAUGACACGACACGCCAACAAACAAAGAAUUCUGACAUAUUGGGACACAUUGUAUAUAUAAUAAAUUAUCAUUUUUAUGAUAAUUUCAAUCAAAUUAAUUUGAAUCAAAUUCAUAAAUAAAUAAAUAAAUAAAUAAGCCUAUAAUGAAUAUACACUUCAAACAUUAAUUCACCAUUUAUUAACAUCAUUCAUUGUUUCAAUUUAACAAAUUCAACUCUAUUUCAAUAAUUUAUAAAACUUGGAGAAAAAACAAGCAAUCUAUAUUCUGGACUCCAUGUUAGAUUUGUUGGAAAAGGAGAAAAAAAAGGAACUUAAGGGGUGGAUUGUAUAUCACGGGAAGUGAGAGUCAAAAAAGAAGAGAAGACUAGGUUUUUCUUCUUUCUCCCAUUAUUAUUUUUAUUAUUGUGUUUUAUUUUUUCACUUAUAUAUUUUGACCUCUCAUUUAUUGAAUUUUUAAAAUUGACUUCAAUAUCGGAAUCGCGUGUCGGAAACUCGUAUGUUAAAAUUUCAACUCGAGUGUUGGAGAGUCUUGAGAAAGUUGACCAAAGUUUAGAUUUUCCAACACAUGUUGACCAAGUGUUGAAGAGUGUCUAAGAGUUUCGGAGAGUGUCGAACACGUGUCGAAGUGUCCGACAUGACACGAAGGCUCUUGGAGAGUAUCGGUGCUUCAUAGCCUAUUAGUAAUAGGUAGUUGUGUUGAUGCCUGGACUUGCCCGCGUCCAACCUUUUAUUCUUUUUAAUCUUUUUCAGAGGUGAUGAAUUUUCAUUGGAACAAAAGUGGAGAUAAUCACGGCAGUACAAGAGACGUAAAUGACUGACUUUUAAUAAAUUAAACUAUGAAAAGAAAUUGCUCAUAGUACGGGAGAAGUAGGAGGAAAAUAGGGAGAGCAAUAAUUGACGAGUCUGUUUAUUGUGCAUUUGGUAACUUUUUUUUUUCUCAAGAAUAAUUUCUAUUUAAAAAUAUUUUUUUUCAAUUUCUAUUCUCUGAACUUUUGAGUAAAAGAAUGUAUUUAGGACAUGUAUGACAAAAUUUAUGGAACAUAAUUCAAUUUCUAAUUUCUUAAUUUUUAUUCCCUAAGCGAGUUUCUAAGUAAAUAAAUGCAUUUUGAUAACAACUCAAAAUUUUUAUUUUUGAAAUAGAAAUUUGUUUGAUAACAAAAUAAAAAUUUUAUUUCUAGGAGGGGCAGCGUUUGACGUCUAGCGGCAGGCAUCUGGUGACCGGUGUCAAGCAAGCAGCGUUUGGUGGCGAGCGGCAGGCGGCCAGUGUUUGGCAGCGAGCUGGUGGCGUUCGGGCCGACGGUGGGUGUUUGGCGUCCCACGGGCAAUGUGUAAUGACGAGAGUAAACGAUGAGAAGAGUUUUCAUUUCUCACUUUUUGUUUAGAAAUAAAAAAGCUAGAAAUUUUAGUUUCUAAUUUCUGCUUUAACUCUAUUUCUAGAAUAGAAAUUUAUUUCAGAAAUAGAAAAAUGAAAUUAUAUUACCAAAUGGAUUUUUGUUCUAAACUUGUUUUGAGGAACAAAAAAACAAAGAAAUAGAGAAACAAAGAUUUUAUCACGCGUGCUCUUAGUAAUUAUAUAAAAUUUCUAUUCUUGGAAUAGAAAAAGAACAUAAACGCGUUGGGUACUGCCCUAAAAAUUUCUAUUCCCAAUUCAUUUAAUUAGAAAAAUGUUAGUGAAGACUUAGCAAUUCAUGUCUGAAUAAAAUUGAACUUUUCUAAGGAUUUAAUUGAUCAAGAUAUUCUAAGAUGGUCUUUGAAAAUUCAACAUAAUAGUUGAGUGAAAAAAUGGAUGGUUGGAAAUGACAACAAAAAGUCCCACUAAUUUAUAACUCACAAUGUUAGGAGGUUAAUAGUAAAUUUUUGGACAUUACAAUAAACAGGUGCAGACUUUUCUAGCUCUUUUAGCUACAAGAAGAAGAGUAAUGUUAUUUGGUGGAAUGGACAAUGACAGAACAAUUGAGGAUGGAGGCAAUCUUUGGUGUGCUUAUUUGCCCAAAUCAUUAAACCUUCAAAUAAAUGAUAUCAGAAAUCCAUGGAGCACAACCUUAUUUGACUGCUAUAAACACAAAACAAAUGGUAAUACAAAAGACUUAUUUAGAGCUAUCUAAUUUUCUAUUAAAAUAGAAUUGCAGAUGAUCUUAGGAUAUCUCCAAUAGAAUCUUAAGGGAAGAAAACCAGAGUUGGCAAUCUUUCGUGACCUAAGCAUUGUCUCUAAAAGAAAAAAAGGCAUUUAAAAACCAUAUAGUAAAUUUUUAAAAGCUUAUUCAAUUUUGAAUCCAGUUUUCAUCAAAAGAUUUUCACAUUUUUUAUGCUAAACCAAUUCAAACUAGAAUUAACAAUAAAAUCUAGUAAAACUAUUCAAAAUCUAAUUUCUAAUUUUUUUCCUAAAUUUCUGAAUUUGUAUUUUUAUUUCAAAAAAUGGAGACUCAGAUUGGAUAAGGAGAUUGGACAUUGUGUCAAUUGUAUAAAGAUGAGCAUUAGGUUAUGUUGAGUUUGUUUUUCUAAAAUGGCAUUAUUUCUCUUUUUGUCCUCACGCACAAAGAAGUAAGUUUUUUCUAACUCUUGUUUCUAUUUUAAAUCUGUUCCCUUGCCAAUGACUGUUGUUGAUUUGUUUUUGGAAACAAAAGAACAGAAAAAAUAGAGAAAUAAAAUGGUUACCAAACAGGGUUUUAGCCAUUAUAUUUUUGUCCAUGACGUAAUCUUUUGAUUAAUAUAUCGCCGAUGACAUGCACACUAAGCCAUUGGUGGGUCGUCUCUUCCAUAUCAGUUAGACCCAUCUUAUUUUUUCUUUGUUCUUUUGCUUUGGAGUGAAUAUCACAAAUAAGGAGUCCAAGCCUCACACGUCUUCCAAAAAGACGGAGAGAGCAUUAAGAGCACGAAUGAUAACUAUUUUGGCAAGAAAUUGAUUUAUGAAACAAAAUAGAUUUUUAUAAUUUUAUUUCUAAAUGAGUUUAUGAGCAAAAAUACACAUUUGAUAACGAUACAAAAAUUAUGUUUUUGAAAUAGAAAUUCGUUUGAUAACGAUACAAAACUUCUCUCUCCCAAUCAAUGGCGGAUAGAGUGGGGGGCAGCACAACUACCAAUGGUAGUCGGCGAAUGGUAGUGGAUGGGGGGCAAUGGCCGAUGGGCGGUUGACUAAUAGCGAUGGCGAAUGACAAGAAGAAUAUUUUUCAUUUCUGUUCUAGAAAUAAAUAAAUAGAAAUAUUUUACUUUUCAUUUCUGUUUCAAAUCUAUUUCUAGACAAAAAAUUUGUUCCAUAAAUAGAAAAAUAAAAUUGCAUUAUCAAAUGGAUUUCUGUAAUUUUAGUUGCAAAAAUAGUUGUUUACCUAGUCUUAACUAUUAAGUAAAACGGGUCUUUUUAUUUAGCCACCAUAGAAAAUCUAGCGAGUGUUGAUUAGAAGAGAUCAUUGUCUCAGUACAAUUUUUUCUUUAUCGGUUUGAUUAGUCUAAUCGAACCGGUUGGCAACCAUAGCUGCACCAAUAAUUUAAACUUGUCAAGCUAAAGUAUAACUUAGUAAUUCAUUGAGGGGCAACCAUGGGCUUGUAGUCGUUGCCUUCGUGCGGAAGAAAUUCCAAUGCUCAAGAUAACCCAACGCGAUAUGGACAUCCUCUUGCAACAUCUAAUUUGGUAAACUUGUCGAGCUAGAUUUAAAAAAUCUGCGUAUAAAGUCUUUGAACAGAAACUAUGAAUCGACCUAUUGAACUUAUUCCUCAAAUCUACGAUGCGGACAUCCUCCCUCCAUAUCAAGAUUAACUUGAUAAAUAUUAAAGAUCAUGACAUUUUUCAGAAAACUAAGAUUUCAUGACAUUUUAGUACAUGAUCGAAAAUUUAUGCUUUUCAUGGUAAACUUACAAGUGGAAAGUUCAAGAUUCUCUAGAAUAUUAAGCUAAAGAGAUCCGGAAAAUCUACUUUUUUUCAAAAAUGAUUUCUUUUAAAAGAAAAUGAGGACUGUUCGGAUUUUCAUGGUUGUAUAAUGUCCAUUUUCAUAAAUAUAUAUUCCCUCGCUAAAUGUGAAAAUUACAAUUUUGGCCAUAAAACUUAAUAUUUCAAUUUCAGUAUACUUAUAACCAUUACUUGUAAAUAACACGGACUUAUUUGUCAAACUUCAAAUGAUGGAUAAAGCGCGUGCUUGCUGAGUAAAAAAAUCCACACACACACACACACACACACACACACACACACACACACACACACACAUAUAUAUAUAUAUAUAUAAUAUUUUAAAAGAACUGAAAAAAAAUAAAAAAAUUGAUCGGCAAUUGCUUCAGAUGACGAAAUAACUUCAGGCACAAACUUUAAAUUGAACUUAAAUUGAAAUUACAUACUAGCAUUAACAACGAGAAUUAGAGUACCAAACACACCACAUAAACACACGUGCUGUAAAAGGUCAUACCUGAGGACACCAUGCAAAACCAAACGACAGACAUUAGAAUACACAAGCAAGACCACAUAUUUCUACUUUUACUUGGUAGCUAGCUAGCAACUACUUCUUCCGGAGGUCGCUCCACAGGUCGCGGAAGUAGGUUUUGGGGUAUGCGCAUGUCCCUCCCGGGGGCUUUCAUGGUCUUUUCUUCUUCGCCAGGCUUGGACGAGUCGCUCUGCAAGUCGUGGAAGUUGGCAGCGGGGUCCUCCUUGAAGGCACGUUGGGUAUGCGCAUGUCCCUCCCGGGAGCUUUCAUGGUCUUCUCUUCUCCUCUGGGCUUGGACGAGUGGCUCCGCAGGUUGCGGAAGCAGGGAGCGGGGUUCUCCUCGAAGGUACGCCGGGGUAUGCGAGUGUCCCUCCCGGGAGCUUUCAUGGUCUUUUCUUCUCCACUGGGCUUGGACGAGUUGCUCCGCAGGCUGCGGAAGUAGGUAGCGGGGUCCUCCUCGAAGGGACGCCGGGGUAUGCGCAUCUCCCUCCCGGGAGCUUUCAUGGUCUUUUCUUCUCCGGUGGGCUUGGACGAGUUGCUCCACAGGUUGCAGGACCCCUCGAAGGUACGCUGGGGUAUGCGCAUGUCCCUCCCGGGGGCUUUCAUGGCCUUUUCUUCUCCGCUGGGCUUGGACGAGUUGCUCCGCAGGUUGCGGAAGUAGGUAGCGGGAUCCUCCUCGAAGGGACGCCGGGGUAUGCGCAUGUCUCUCCCGGGAGCUUUCAUGGUCUUUUCUUCUCCGCUGGGCUCGGACGAGUUGCUCCGCAGGUUGCGGAAGUAGGUAGCGGGGUCCUCCUCGAAGGGACGCCGGGGUAUGCGCAUGUCCCUCCCGGGAGCUUUCAUGGUCUUUUCUUCUCCGCUGGGCUUGGACGAGUCGCCCGUCAGACUCAUCACGCCCACGCGCACGGCCAAGGCCCAGAUCGCGUCCAUAGGAAUAUGCCUUCGGAUAUGGUAAAAGCUUUGAGGUCUCUUUAGUGUCGAAGUGUGAGUGCUCAAUGCCUUGUUGCUUAGGGUAAGAGGUGAGUCUUUGGGGGUUAAUUUAUAGCCGCUUUGGUGGCUUUGGAGCUUGGACUUGGGAGUAAUUUCAUUGACGUUGAUGUUGACCUUCACUUGGGGCAAUUCGUUGCUUAAUGCUCUCACACCCCCCGCCCCUCUCCCUCCUCUCCCUCCUCUCCCUCCUCUCCCUCUGCGUGUGUGUGUG
rnacentral:lncRNA from 1 species